rnacentral:rRNA from 1 species
UUGGGUUUAAGGGUGCGCAGGCGGGAUUUUAAGUCAGAGGUGAAAUUUUCAGGCUCAACCUGAGAACUGCCUUUGAAACUGGGAUUCUUGAGUAUGGAUGAAGUAGGUGGAAUUCGUUGUGUAGCGGUGACAUGCUUAGAUAUAACGAGGAACUCCGAUUGCGAAGGCAGCUUACUGGGCCAUAACUGACGCUCAAGCACGAAAGCGUGGGGAUCAAACAGGAUUAGAUACCCUGGUAGUCCACGCCGUAAACGAUGAUUACUAGUUGUUUGCGAUAUACCGUAAGUGACUAAGCGAAAGCGAUAAGUAAUCCACCUGGGGAGUACGCCGGCAACGGGGAAACUCAAAUGAAUUGACGGGGG